GCCAAAAUGACCAAGUGGUUAACAUUCGCCCCAUUUGUGUGCGGGGUUGUGGGUUCGAUCCCCACUGCUGGCG